rnacentral:lncRNA from 1 species
UUAUUUAUUUAUUUAUUUAUUUAUUUAUUUAUUUAUUUAUUUUCUGAGAUCUAAUUUAGACCAUGGAGAAGAAAAACAAAAAGGUGGUAUUAAUAAACUGCUUUGGGGAGUAAAAGAACCUCUUAGAAUCCACGACAUCAUGGAUGGAAGAGAUCCUUAAGGAGGGAAUGAAGCACAGCUCAGAGUGGGAAGGUUAGCAAUGUUCAAGACCAAAGUUAAUCAUCUCUACAUGAGUCAAUUGAAAGAAAAGAAUUAAAAGCAUUAAAAAAAAAACAAUAUGAGUAAUGGGAGGAGCUGAUGAAGCCUGCUGCCCAGAUGAGGAUUGGAAACUAUUUAAACUGGAUAAUACAGUAUGUGUUUUAGCUCUGAGAAAACAGAAGUUGAACUUUUGAGUAGUAAUCAAGGGCACGGUCUCAAAGUAUUUGCAAAUAGUGCUGGUAUGGAGAACAGAUGCCGACAUUAUUGCCAAUGGGAAUCACAAUGUGAUAGUUGGAGUGAGAGACUAAAAGAAACCACAGGGAAUUUUUGCAGAAAGCUUGGCAUUGAACAUGAUUUAUGGUUGAUUUAAGAAGGAGACAAGGAAAAUAAGGCUACAGUGUAUACCAUCUGACUGCUGCGGACCAAGGAUGUAAACAGUUAGCCAUGGCUCUCCAACCUCCUGGAAAUCAGGAUUCUGCUCAUACAGAAAGGCGCCAGAAUGUUUGUCUGAGUUAAGUGCAUACUUCUUUUUUAGUAUCUAAGAAUAGUUAUCCUCCUUUCCUCUCCCAUUACUGCUUGGGUAUCCUUAAAAAUCCUCACCAGCUAUUAAGUAUCAUGGAGUUACGCAAAGAGGUCUGCAGGGAACUUGAUGGCUUCCCAAAGUGGAUCAGAGAACCUCACAGGAGGCCCUAGGCUUGAAAGGAUGAUUGCAGAAAGGAUGACCUACAAGUGGAUGGUCAGAUCUGGCUGCAAAUGGAUGUCUGAAAGAAAACGGGGAUCCUAGGAAACCCAUCACAGCCCUCUAUGAGCUUCAGAAACCAGCAAGGUUAAUUAUGUCAUUGCCUCUAAGUGAAUGCAGGUGACAUUGUUUUGAUAAUUUGAUGAACAUGCCUCCUCCAGGAACAGUGUGAUCCAAGAUGCCAGGUCCAUUUCAGGGCCUGAAUCAGAUGUCCGGAAUCUCAAAAAGACUGGGAAUUAGAACUGGGUUCUCAAGGGGAAGGACUUCUUAAGGGAAAUUUUUUUCUUGGCUAAAGAGACACUCAGGAGGAAAUGUCUUUUCUUUUGCUGCCAUUGAAUGACUAGAUCAUCUAUCUAUCUCUCUCUCUGUCUA